rnacentral:lncRNA from 1 species
CUGUUUUCUAAAUGUCACUUUUUGAGAUACAAGUGAGCAGAACGUUUCUGGGCUAUCUCAAAUUGAAACAGUCUGCUGGAACCCAUCCGUACAGCAAUUUGAAAUGAGCUGCUCUGGAUGCUGCGGAGAACAGCCAGUGGAUCUGAAGUUCCAAUUAAAACUGUGUUUGGACCAUUGCUUUAUUGCCUGCCCAUACUUAAUCUCUCUUGAAAGCACCAUCAUUUAUCUGAAGCAAAAGAAGAACAAGGUAAGGACAGAAAGUAAUGGAAUGCAGCAUAACACAUCUGUCAAACAAGCUUGAAGUAGCUCGGAAAGAAUAAUAAUAAUAAUAAAGAAUUCAAGAUCAGUGACA